CACGUAGGGUGCGAGCGUUGUCCGGAAUUAUUGGGCGUAAAGAGCUCGUAGGCGGUGUGUCGCGUCGGCCGUGAAAACCUGCAGCUUAACUGUGGGCUUGCGGUCGAUACGGGCAUCACUGGAGUUCGGCAGGGGAGACUGGAAUUCCUGGUGUAGCGGUGAAAUGCGCAGAUAUCUGGAGGAACACCGGUGGCGAAGGCGGCAUCCUGGACCGGCAUUGACGCUGAGGAGCGAAAGCCAGGGGAGCAAACGGG
rnacentral:rRNA from 1 species